AGCUUCAGCUCCUCCUUGGAGGAAGAGGAGGGCUGGUACUGGGGACCAUGGCUGGGUUGGAGUUCCACUCUCCCUGGCCUUGGCCAAGAGGUGGUGGCUGGUACUGGGGUAACAGCAGGGGCUACGCUGAAUGAGGCCGAACAAAGUUCAUUGAAGAAAUGCACAAGCACAAGGAUCACCCCAGGAACUGUGCACAACAGAAACCUCUCCGAGAUAGCUCCACACCAUGGGAACUGUCUGACCCAGGUCCCAGCAAAAGAGCUUUCCAGCAACUGGGGGGGAAGCUAUACAAGAGGGAAAAUGACAAUGUGAGGGGUCCUCACUCUCCCUACAACACCACACCUGAAAACACCUGAGGAACAAAGACUGACUUGGGGGAAGUGAUGGUCCCAGGCUAAGAUCUUUAGCCUGUGUAGGGAAAGCUGGAAAAGCCAAGGCAACCUGUGCCUUCAGACUCUGCCAGCCUGUUUAUCACUUAGGGGUACCGCCCACAAGGGAGCACCCAGCACAGCUUGGAGGCACUAUUCAAAUUAAGAGGCUCAUCAAGAAACACUUGACUGACAGUGGCCCAUGGAGAUGCCCAUCUGCACUAGGGGACUGUCCUGUAAAUAUGCUGUCUGGAAUCUAGGUAAUGGCUUCCUGCAAUGACUGAGCACAACGGCAUAAACAUGUGACUCCAAACACCAUCUUGUUGCUGUAAUUUUCCACAGUAAGAACAAUGUGAUGCCCUCCACAUGGCAAAAGCU